rnacentral:misc_RNA from 1 species
CUGAAGGUUUUCACACGCGCAAACCCACUGUGUAAACUUGAAGUCUGGUUGCUCAGGCAGGCGGUCCCCAGGGGGGGACCGCAGCCUCGUAUCAGGCGCCUGCCGGAGGAUACCUAAACUCUUUUGUAUGCAGUGACUAGUCUGAGCUACAAACAAAUACGAUCA